rnacentral:tRNA from 1 species
GGGGUUGUGGCUCAGUGGUAGAACACUCACCUCGCAUGUGGGAGAGCCUAAGUUCUAUCCUUAGCGCCACA